rfam:Sus scrofa chromosome X.
UCCCUGGUGGCCUAGCUGGUUAAGGAUCUGGCAUUGUCACUGCUGUGGUGCAGGUUCAAUUCCUGGCCUGGGAA